rnacentral:lncRNA from 1 species
UCUUGAACGUUGCAUUCAUUAGGCUUGGUCGCGUUCGAAACGAGAAGCGAUCUCGAAAACUCCUCAAGAUUAUCCAUAAUACUCUAUCGUCGAAGUGGCCUGAAACUAAGCAAAAGCCGCUUUCACAGUCAUUUGCUAAGAACGAAGUGAAUUCUACAAAAACAACGCCAUAAUCAGUUCGAAGCCGGAG